UGUAAUUAUACAUACAACAGU
ensembl:piRNA 21ur-942 ncRNA